GACGAACGCUGGCGGCGCGCCUAACACAUGCAAGUCGAACGGAGUCAAGAGGAGCUUGCUUUUCUUGACUUAGUGGCGAACGGGUGAGUAACGCGUGAGUAACCUGCCCUGGAGUGGGGGACAACAGUUGGAAACGACUGCUAAUACCGCAUAAGCCCACGGAUCCGCAUGGAUCUGCGGGAAAAGGAUUUAUUCGCUUCAGGAUGGACUCGCGUCCAAUUAGCUAGUUGGUGAGGUAACGACCCACCAAGGCGACGAUUGGUAGCCGGACUGAGAGGUUGAACGGCCACAUUGGGACUGAGACACGGCCCAGACUCCUACGGGAGGCAGCAGUGGGGGAUAUUGCACAAUGGGGGAAACCCUGAUGCAGCGACGCCGCGUGGAGGAAGAAGGUUUUCGGAUUGUAAACUCCUGUCGUUAGGGACGAUAAUGACGGUACCUAACAAGAAAGCACCGGCUAACUACGUG
rnacentral:rRNA from 1 species